UGAAACGCAGGUUUUUAAGGACAAAACAAUAGGACAAAAGUGCUGUAUAUUGUCCUUAAGAUGACACAUGAAUUUAAAAUGCAUAGUGUUUGGAUUAUUCAUGAGAGCCCCGCAAGAACGAUGUCCCAGGGGUUUUUGCCAGGAACAUGCCUGAGAUUGUAGAUAAGAAUCAAGCAUCUGGGGCUGCCGCACAAUGGAAAACUCCAGCACUCCAUGGAACUUUUCCAUCUGCAGCAGUCGGAGGAUUUGCCUGAGAACAUACGCGGCAUGAAGACACUCUCAGCCCUCAAGGGCACCCAGUCAGCGCUGUUUAAGGACGGUUUUUCUGUUCACAGCAUACUUCAUGAUUACAGCUUCACUCCAUUGGAUACAACUAUUGAGGUCCACGUUCCCACUCCUUGAAUCUGAGUUGGGCUGUGACUACAGCAGAAGUUCAGCUAUGUGGCUUCCAAGGCUACCUUGGAAAGGUGAUAGAGCUUCCACCUGAUUUUCUUGGGAACAGCCACUCUUAAACCUCAGCCACCAUACGGGGAGAAAGCCCAAGCCAUGUGACGAGGCCAUUUGUAGGUGUUCCAGUCAUCAGUCCCAGCCCACAGCCAGCAUUAACCCCCAGAGGUAUAAAUGAAGAAACCAAGAUCACUCCAGCCCCAACCGGCACUUGACUGCAAACCUAUAAGAGACUCCAAGCAAAUAAUAUCUAUCUCAGCCCAAUCAAGCCCUGGAACCAUGAGAGAUUCUAAAUAAUAAAGUGAUCAUUGUGAUUUUAAGCCACUGAGUCCUGCAGUGAGUUGUUAUAUAGCAACCGGGCAUCGGCAUACCAUCAGAAGAUUCCUUAAGAAGAAACUUUUGCAACGUUGCUACAGCAGAAAAUAUUCCUUCUGUAUGAUCAUUCAUCCAUUCAUCAAUCUUGAUUGGCAUUGCCUAUGUGCUAAGCAUUGUCGGUCACUGGAGGUGCAGAAAAGAAGUGAAGCAGUAUUCAGCCAAACAAACAACUUGCAUAUUGGAUAGAGAGAAAAAUAUGCCAAAAUUACAACAGUAUUUUGACCCAACAGAAAGGACAUAAGAAGGGAACAUCAACAGUUCCUUCCUAUUCUUUUCCACCCUUUUUCUUUCUAGGCUCAUUAAAUGUAGAGGUGCCUCAGGGUCACUUUGCCCCAUGAGAGUAGAUACCCUCCUCUCCCAUCCCUAACUUUGGUCUUCACUCUAUGCCUGAUACCAGCAGCUCCCCAGGCUCCUCCAUGCUGUUGGCACCCCAUUCCCAUUCUCUGGAAACAUCUCAGCCCAUCAACCUCAGAUUACUUUCCCAAGGAGAUGUGAGAAAACUUCAAUUUUCCCCUUUGUGACUUGCAGAGAAAUAGGGGUGGUAAAUGAGAAGCAGAGGGAGAGGGUGGGGAUUCAUUACCUUGAGUUACUAAAGAGAAAAGCUCUAGUGUUUAGAAGGUGCUGUUAUUAUUUUCUCUGAAACAUUAGCUCCUAGAAAUCAGAGGCUCUGUCCCUAGCAUGGUCUCUAAGGC
rnacentral:lncRNA from 1 species